rnacentral:misc_RNA from 1 species
AAGUCGUAACAAGGUUUCCGUAGGUGAACCUGCGGAAGGAUCAUUACAUGCAGUAGCCUAGCUACUUGUUUAUACCCUUGUCUUUUGCGCACUUGAUUGUAUCCUCGGCGGGCUUGCUCGCCGGUUGGACACCUACUAUAACCUUUUGAAAUCUUCAAUCAGCGUCUGAAUAAUACCUAAUUAUUACAACUUUCAACAACGGAUCUCUUGGUUCUG